GUAGGUGAACCUGCGGAAGGAUCAUUAAUGAGAACUUGCCCUUCGGGGUAGAUCUCCCACCCUAUGUUUACAUUACCUUUGUUGCUUUGGCAGGCCCGUCCUCGGACCACCGGCUUCGGCUGGUCAGCGCUUGCCAGAGGAUCUCAAACUCUAUAUUUUAUGUUGUCUGAGUAUUAUUUUAAUAAGUUAAAACUUUCAACAACGGAUCUCUUGGUUCUG
rnacentral:misc_RNA from 1 species